rnacentral:rRNA from 1 species
UACGUAGGGGGCAAGCGUUGUCCGGAAUUACUGGGCGUAAAGGGCGCGUAGGCGGCCCGCUAAGUCGAACGUGAAAUCCCCGGGCUCAACCCGGGAACUGCGUCCGAUACUGGCGGGCUUGAAUCCGGGAGAGGGAUGUGGAAUUCCAGGUGUAGCGGUGAAAUGCGUAGAUAUCUGGAGGAACACCGGUGGCGAAGGCGGCAUCCUGGACCGGUAUUGACGCUGAGGCGCGAAAGCCAGGGGAGCAAACGGG